GGGCGAGUGGCGGAAUUGGCAGACGCGCAAGACUUAGGAUCUUGUCCCGAAAGGGGUGCGGGUUCGAGUCCCGCCUCGCCCACCA
rnacentral:tRNA from 1 species